AACGAGAAAGCCCGCAAGGGUGAGUAAAGUGGCGUACGGGUGAGUAACACGUGGGUAAUCUACCUUUUGGUGGGGAAUAACGCUGGGAAACCGGCGCUAACACCGCAUAAGCUCGGAAGAGGAAAAGAGAAAUCUGCCGAAAGAGGAGCCCGCGGCUGAUUAGCUAGUUGGUGAGGUAAAGGCUCACCAAGGCAAUGAUCGGUAGCCGGCCUGAGAGGGCACACGGCCACACUGGCACUGAAACACGGGCCAGACUCCUACGGGAGGCAGCAGUGGGGAAUCUUGCACAAUGGGGGAAACCCUGAUGCAGCGACGCCGCGUGAGUGAUGAAGCCCUUCGGGGUGUAAAGCUCUUUCGGCAGGGACGAUAAUGACGGUACCUGAAGAAGAAGCUGCGGCUAACUACGUGCCAGCAGCCGCGGUAAUACGUAGGCAGCAAGCGUUGUUCGGAGUUACUGGGCGUAAAGAGUGCGUAGGCGGUUUUCUAAGUUUGGUGUGAAAUCUCCCGGCUUAACUGGGAGGGUGCGCCGAAGACUGGAAGGCUUGAGUAUGGGAGAGGUAAGCGGAAUUCCUGGUGUAGCGGUGAAAUGCGUAGAUAUCAGGAGGAACACCUGCGGUGUAGACGGCUUACUGGACCAUAACUGACGCUGAGGCACGAAAGCGUGGGUAGCAAACAGGAUUAGAUACCCUGGUAGUCCACGCCCUAAACGAUGCAUACUUGGUGUGGGUAGUUCAUUCUAUCCGUGCCGGAGCUAACGCGUUAAGUAUGCCGC
rnacentral:rRNA from 1 species